rnacentral:rRNA from 1 species
UACGUAGGGGGCUAGCGUUGCUCGGAAUGACUGGGCGUAAAGGGCGCGUAGGCGGCUUGUUUAGUCGGAUGUGAAAUUCCUGGGCUUAACCUGGGGGCUGCAUACGAGACGUAUGGGCUUGAGUGCGGAAGAGGGUCGUGGAAUUCCCAGUGUAGAGGUGAAAUUCGUAGAUAUUGGGAAGAACACCGGUGGCGAAGGCGGCUAUCUGGCCCGUAAUUGACGCUGAGGCGCGAAAGCGUGGGGAGCAAACAGG